rnacentral:rRNA from 1 species
UACGUAGGGCGCAAGCGUUAUCCGGAAUUAUUGGGCGUAAAGAGCUCGUAGGCGGUUUGUCGCGUCUGCCGUGAAAGUCCGGGGCUCAACUCCGGAUCUGCGGUGGGUACGGGCAGACUAGAGUAAUGUAGGGGGAGACUGGAAUUCCUGGUGUAGCGGUGAAAUGCGCAGAUAUCAGGAGGAACACCGAUGGCGAAGGCAGGUCUCUGGGCAUUAACUGACGCUGAGGAGCGAAAGCAUGGGGAGCGAACAGG